rnacentral:rRNA from 1 species
GAGGGUUGCCAACCCGCGAGGGGGAGCUAAUCCCACAAAGCCGAUCGUAGUCCGGAUCGCAGUCUGCAACUCGACUGCGUGAAGUCGGAAUCGCUAGUAAUCGUGGAUCAGCAUGUCACGGUGAAUACGUUCCCGGGUCUU